rnacentral:rRNA from 1 species
GGCCUAACACAUGCAAGUCGAACGCGUGUAGCAAUACACGAGUGGCGCACGGGUGAGUAACGCGUGGAUAUCUGCCUUUUGGUUCGGAAUAACCCCGGGAAACUGGGGCUAAUACCGGAUGGUUCCUUCGGGAUAAAGAUUUAUCGCCAAAAGAUGAGUCCGCGUACGAUUAGCUAGUUGGUGAGGUAAUGGCUCACCAAGGCGACGAUCGUUAGCUGGUCUGAGAGGACGAUCAGCCACACUGGGACUGAGACACGGCCCAGACUCCUACGGGAGGCAGCAGUGGGGAAUAUUGGACAAUGGGGGCAACCCUGAUCCAGCCAUGCCGCGUGAGUGAUGAAGGCCUUCGGGUUGUAAAGCUCUUUUGGCGGGGACGAUGAUGACGGUACCCGCAGAAUAAGCCCCGGCUAACUUCGUGCCAGCAGCCGCGGUAAGACGAAGGGGGCUAGC